GGGGACGUAACAAAGCGACCCAGGAAUGCUUGGGCGUGCCUCCACCCACGCCGGCGUCGGCGGGCGUAUUUCGCCUCACAGUAGGUCGCCGCGACCCGUUGCUUUUGGGGACGUCGAAGGCCCGGACGGAUUGGUACCCUACCGGCUGGGGAUGCGGCUUCGGCUUCUCCUCUUGUCCGGUGGGCGAAACCGCCGGUGUCCUGGCUGCCCUGCGACGGUCGUAGAGACGAGCCCUCCCCUUCGGGGGGGCGGCUCUCGCGGCGUGCAAAAGGUCGGUGAUCCACCCGACCCGUCUUGAAACACGGACCAAGGAGUCUAACAUGUGUGCGAGUCAGUGGGCGCACUAAACCCAGAGGCGUAAUGAAAGUGACACGGGUUCGGCUGUCGCCUCGUGUGGCAGCCGGACUCAGGGCCGAUCCCUCACCGGUUGCCCUCGCCUCUCUCCCGCGUCUCGGUAAGCCGGGUGAGCUAUUUUCCCCGGCCGCUGCUGCGGGGCUCGGGGGGAGGCGGGGUGCGAUGGUGUCCGUAAAAAAGAGCCUGCUGUUGCAGGGGGGCGCAGGCCCGGGACUUGCCAGGACGCCGCGAGACUGUCACUUUGCUGUGAGGCUCUCGGGCCGAUCAGCGGGUCAUGCGUGCAGUCGGCAAGUACCAUGAGCAGACAUGUUGGGACCCGAAAGAUGGUGAACUAUGCCUGGCCAGGAUGAAGCCAGAGGAAACUCUGGUGGAGGUCCGUAGCGAUUCUGACGUGCAAAUCGAUCGUCGGAGCUGGGUAUAGGGGCGA
rnacentral:rRNA from 1 species